UCCCCAGUGGCUCAGAUGGUAAAGAAUCUGCCUGCAAUGCAGGAGACUCAGGUUCAAUCCCUGAGUCAGGAA
rnacentral:tRNA from 1 species